AGCAGAUCCAGCAAUCACCACUCCUGUCUUAAACCCCGGCUUUCCAACCAGUCUCUGCCAGAUUGUCCAUACACCUGAGUGAUAACACUCCUUUUAUCUAGUUUUGACUGUGUGUUGUUUGUGUGUGUGUGCACGUGUGCAGGGAAGACUAUCUCUGGCAUGCCAUAGAUCUGCCUGGCAGGUCUCUGUGCCAGGGAGACUGAACAAAUACAUUUGUAGUGGUGUGUGUGCGCGCUUCUAUGCAGGCCUACAGGUGUUUUGCGCUUGAAUGCACCUCUAAAGCAUCAAAUUAGCUCCACUCAGAUCAAACCCCCUAAUUAGAUAAGCUUAUUUAAGGCAGCUGUGUUAUCAUAACGUAACUGCCUAUCUGCUUUUUCCCUGCCUGUCUGUUGCACCACGGAACCCUCUGACGUUUAGGGGUUUUAGUGGUGGAGGCUAGUGUGGGUCCCUUCACCAAGUGUAGUGUUAACAGCACUGGGGCACGAUUUGCAGUGACUAUCGAUUGCUGCAGGCACACACGGUGGGUAAGUUGGAGCACACCCUUAGUUUGCCUCUCCACAGCUGGCCCUGGCCCACUUCGACCUUUUGUUUCUUCAAUAAUCAACAAUAACUGGGAGUGUUUUGUUAAAAUUAUUAACAUGUUUGCUGAAAUUGUAAAACUCUUUAUUGUAAUUUGGUUAUUUGCAUUAGUGACCACUUUUUUUUCCCUCUCUCCAGGCACUUAGUUACUAGUUAUCAAAUGAGUAAUUCUUGUGGAACCACAUCUCUUACUUCAGUAAACCUGUGUAGCCUUUGUAUAAUGGGUUAAAGUAGAAAUGGAACAUUUCCUGGGGUGGAAGUCCCCAGGUAGCGUUGGCGGGUAGUUAAGAUUCCAGUGGUGAUUCCUCUUUGUGCCGCCACCCAUUACACCCUCCAGCAGAGGAGGACUGAAGGGCGUGUCCAACAACACCAGCGGGCUGCCGGCACUGGCACCAGUGUCAAUGAGUUUCAUCCCAUAUCCCCCAGAGCAAGGGUCAUUGUCGGACAUAAAGGCAGCUAAGAGAUCCGCAGCUAGUCUUGCAUACGACUGGACCAAUGUUACUGAUUGAAUGCAGAGGUGCAGUACAGACUUGACAGUACGAACACAGGCUCGUGCUUUCAUUUGUUCAACCACCGUCCUGAAAAGAUUGGCUUGUGAUAUUUGCAUUUUCAAAAACCUGUCUUAACGUUUAAAAGUAGAACUAUUAGAACUCGGCAUAGGCUUCAUGUCAAAAGGCUGUGUGCCCUCAGCUCUGUGCGUUGUAAACAAACCAACUAGCCAACGGUUUGAAAGGGAGAGAUGCAUGCACAAAAGGAGUCAGGAGUCAUUAGGAGAACCACACCUACUUUAACAGGGAAGACCAACCCUGGGAGUAACAUGACUGCAAUUUGAAAUAUUCCUCCUUAGGGCGUAGGAGUACAACGUACAUCAUUACAUUAAUUGGAGUAUGCAUGGCUCCAUGUAAAAAGGGAUGUGACAUUUUAAUUUUCCUUAGCUAUAAACAGAUUAGUAAGAAGUAAUUUUCAGAAUAAGGGCAAAAACUAGAGGGGUAUGUAGUCUGCAGCUAUCUGGCCUGUUUUCAGUGAGCAAGCUCAUUAACAUAAAUGAGCUGCACAUGUGCAUUCCAGUCUUCCUAAUGAUCUGUCACUAAUCCACAUGGUUAACCCUAGGAACUUUGUUUUUUUUGUUGGGUUUCAACUGUUCCAUUUAAGUUUUAACCUUUAUUUAACAUGUCACACACACACUACACUGUCACUUGUUAGCUGUCUUAGAAGUUUCAUCCAGUGAUUGAAGAGCAGCUAGUCUACACACA